AAGAGAAGGAAAGAAUAUGAAUUAUCUAGAAAUUAACUUGGCCAACCAUGUCAGAGAAUUCUCACUAAAGGAGGUGUUUAUUUCUUGGAUAAAUGGGAGAUGUGUUUGUGAAAGGAGAUUAGCAGAGCAGUGGACAGAGCACUGGCUUUGGAGUGAGGCUGCCCAGGCUCCACACACAUGAGGCGUCAGAUAGCGAUAAGGGCUAAAGAGAAAAAUAAAGCAGGAAGAGCAACAGCCUCUGACUUCCAUUUUUGACAUCCUGAUGCUGACCUUGAAGAUGGAAGACGCCAUGAACAAGGACCAGAGAGCCGUUUCUAGGAGCUAAGAACAACUCCCGGCCAAAGGCCAGCAAGGAAACAGGGAUCUCGGUCCCACAGCCAUAGGAAACUGUGUACUGCUAACAACCUGAGUGAGCUUGGAAGGGAUUCUUCUCCAGAGCCUCCAGAGAAGAGCUCCAUCUGGCUGAUACCCUGUGAGGCCCCAAGCAAAGAACCCCAUCAAACUUGCCUACACUUCUCACCUACAGGUCUAUAACUAACACAUGGAUGUUGUUACGCCUCUGAGUUUGCUAUGCUGCAAUAGAAAACGAAUACACGUUAUCUUACUUAAUCCUCACGACCUUCCAAAAUGGAGGGUGUCCCCAUUAUAUGGAUGACGGAACAGGUCAAUGAGG
rnacentral:lncRNA from 1 species